GUGCUUGCUUCAGCAACACAUAUACUAAAGUUGAAACAAUACAGAGAUUUACUUGGCCACUGCUAAAGGAUAACACACAAAUUUGUGAAGUGUUCCAUGAACAA